UAGAUGUAUGAAUUUAACGACCUACGUAACUUACAGUUUAGCUAUUAAUUCUCAUUUUUGCUUCUCCCUUCUCACUCUUUCUCGCUUUCUCUUUCUCUAUCUCUCUCUCUCUCUCUCUCGCUGUCUCUCUCUUGAAUAUCUACAUACUCCUGUAUGUAUGCUUGUUUUUAUAUUAUAUCAAAGGUGACAAUCGACUCAGCUUCAGCCUCAUCCGGGUUGUUCACAAGUUUGUGUGAUUACGGCUCAAUAUAUUCAUGUAUAUAUGUGCAAACAGGCACCCAAAAGCACGCACAGACAGAUAUACAUAUGUAUAAUUAAAUCUAUUCAUCUAUCUAUCUGUAUGCAUAAAAAGAUAUACAUAUAUAUGUAUGUAUGCAUUUUUAUUAUAUAUAUAUAUAUAUAUAUAUAUAUAUAUAUAUAUAUAUAUAUACAGAGACAGAUAGAGAUAGUGAGAGAAAGAGAUACAUACAUAGAUACAUGCAUAUAUUCUUUAAGUAUCUGUACACUUCCACGUUCAUACUCGUAUAAGUAUUCAACAAUAUAGUUCUUGCCUACUCUCCAAAGUUUGGAGCCAUAUUCCUCUUAGCUAUUUCCAGUAGCUCCUCUUUUCCGUCUAAGCUCUCCUUUUUGCUCACCUAAGUUCUAUGUCUUUAAUACUGACGCGGAAUGUAUGUGAAAUUAGAGAAGUGUCCAGUAAUUUUGGCAGCUACACUUAGUCCUCUUUUAAUCAUUGUACAAAAUAUGCUUCUAAGUUUUUGCGACGUUAUCACUUGAAGUUCUGGAUAAGUUAGUGCAGGCACCUUUCUAUUUUUCAUGUCUUUUUUUAAAAAAAAAAGCUUGCUUCAAAAAAUAUUUGCUUCUCUUGCACAGUUCAACCUCAAUUCAUGUAUGACUUAAGGGUGGAAACGUGUGUAUUUGUAUCUUUGUGUUUGCGCAUGUAUAUACACAUGCGUGUAUGUGUGCGUUUUGUGUGUGUGUGUUUACACACAUAUUUACGACAGGUUUCAUUCACUUUCCUUCCACUAAGUUUUGAUUUGUUAACAAGACUUUGGUUGGCCCCCCGGCACUAUAACAGCCGAAAGUGGAAUGCAGUGGACUUAACCAGAAGCCGUGUGGUUGGGAAGCAAGGUUCUUACCACACAACUGCUCUUGACACACACACACACACAUAUAUGUGUGUAUAUAUAUAUGCGUAUAUGUGCCUGUGUCAGUGUGUGAACAUGUAUGCAAAUUUGUGUAUUAUAUUGAUAAUAUAUGUUGCUAGGUACAGGAUGAGUUAAUUACGUGUAUAUUCGAAUUUACAUGAAAAUGAAAAGGUAAAAAUAGUAUGAUUUAAUGCUCCGUAAUUGUUGACUGAGCAAGUGAAAGUACAAUAUCAAUUGAACCAGCUCCCGGACAGUAGAAAUGCUACAUUUAAUUACACCUAUUAUCAUAAGCGAACGGAGGAAUGCGUUUGUAUAUGCUGCAGUGUUUCAUUAUAUGUAUAUCGUAAAGCAUAUAUACAACUCCAGUAUAUCGAGACAAGCACAAGUAUAGAUUUCAACAAUAAGAAAACAGCUGACUGCAUGUGUAAUCGGACACGAUACAGACACCUCUGUAUCAAUUACCAACAGCGCAGGUAAAUUAAUAAUUGCUAAAUUAUUACAAUUGCACACAACCACUACCACUACGGACACGACAAAUAACAUAAUCACGCUUGCUAGUUCUACCUGCUUACCCAUAAGAAACACUAUCGCCAACCCUUUCGGCACCAACACCAACAAUAUAACAUACACAACCACUAUACUUUCAGAGUACGUUGAAAUGACUGGCUAAUAUCCAACCAACAAAGUAUAGUUUAAUAUUUCCAACUACCUGCUAAAAUUAGCAGUUAAAUAUACCUCAAACAGCUGCAAACAUUUUAAAAGAAUACAAACGAAAUGGAGGAAUAUAGUUGUAUAUAUAUAUUAUAAAAGAAAACGAAAGUUUACUCCUGUUAGUAAUCGUUUAUUCACAGACUUAGUUUAACGGGACUGAUUUUAGAAUAAACAAAACCCCAACUACAGGAACAGACACAUUCACAUAUACAAAUCUAAAUGAAUUAAGACGUUGGCUAGCAGGCAGAAUUUUGGGAGCCCCUGUCACAUUCUUCUAAAAGUAUUAAUAAGUAUGUACCCUACAAAGAAGUAUUGAAUAAUUCAUGUGUUUAACUUUAUAGUGUUAUUAUUGAAUGAUAACUUGACAUAAACGCCGGUGUUACUAUAUGUAUGCAUAUACAUACAUAUAUACAUUUAUAUAUAUAUAUAUAUAUAUAUAUAUAUAUAUAUAUAUAUAUAUAUAUAAAUCUUUGUGUAAAUGUAUAUAUAUGUGUAUAUAAAUACAUACACACAUAUACAUACAUAUAUAUUUUAUAUAUAUUUAUUUAUCUAUAUAUCUAUUCUCUCUCUCUCUCUCUCUCUUAUAUAUAUAUAUAUAUAUAUAUAUAUAUAUAUAUAUAUAUAUAUACUUGUAUCGUGGGUCAGUUUUGAAAAGUUACUAAUCAGUCAAAGAAAUCAAAUUCAUAUCGUAUUUUUAAGAUGACUCAAUACAUAUUUACUUUCCUGGCUCUAAUGAAUGGUAGUAAUGUUGUACAUUUUUUUAACGAAAGAAAAAUGGUAAGAUGAAAAAAAAAACAAAAAACAAUCCAAGCAUUCAAAAGUAUAUAUGUAUAUGCUAAUUAUGCAGCAAGCAUUGUGACUAAAUAACACAUACGAAAUUGUAGACAAUAACGUGUCUCUAUAUAACAAUAUAAUGCAGGGUAAUAAUGUGAUUAAAUGCGAUCAUAUUUCUAAAGUACAUAUAUAUAUAUAUAUAUAUAUAUAUAUAUAUAUAUAUAUAUAUAUAUAUGCGCGUGUGUUUAUUUUUUAGUGGACUAGUGUAUUAAGCUCACAAAGUUGUCAUCAUACCUGUGCCUGUGUACGUGUGUUUGCAUGUGUCCACCGGUCUCCCUGUGUGUGUACACUGCCUGCUUUAUGAAAGUGAUAUAUAUAAAUAUUUAUAUGUAGAGCCGCACACGCUCACACAGAAACGUACACACACACACACACACAGAAACGUACACACACACACACACACACACACACAUAUAUAUAUAUCUGUAUGUGUUACAUUCACGUAGACACGUAUUUACCAGUAUGUUUUGUAAGGCGGAAAACGAUAUACAUGUACGCAUGUGUGUGUCUGUAAAUGUGAAUAUAUAUAUAUGAAUAUAUGUAUUAUUAUAUAUAUUAUAUAUAUUAUACAUAUUACAUAUUCGUAGGUAAAUGCUUAUAUUUAAUGUUUACGUAUAUGUGUGUGUUUGUGCAUGUGUACGUGUGUUCGUAUGCGUAUGUGUUUGUGUGAGUGUAAAUAUAUUAAAUAUGUAUUUGUGUUAGCUUGCGACUCUGUGUGUGCGCGUGCGUGCCUGUGUGUAUGCGUAUGUGUAUGUGUUUGUGUAUUUGUGUAUGUGUAUGUGUGUUUGUUUGUGUAUUUGUGUGUGUGUGUGUAUGUGUGUGUGUGUGUGCGUGUGUGUGUUAAGAAAUAGCGGAAGUUCUUGGAACACCCAGCAGGCAUGGGAUAUCAGCUAGAACUGCUUGUCUAUGUUGUGUCACCGGCAUACAUGCCUGCUUGCGUUUUGCCUGACUCUCGCCUUCAUAUAGUCUACUUACCGUGUUGGAUGGACGCUCAUUAUAACUUUUCAAAACAGAUACUAGCUUCAACACGCAGGACAAUUUUCUAAAGCUUCACGAAUAUAGCAGUAAUACAGAGUGCCAAACCAGGGAGUAAAAAUAUUAUACAUAUAUAUAUAUAUAUAAAUACAUUACUUUCACACCCGUAUGUACGAUAUAUAGAUAAAUAUAUUUUUAUAAAUUAUAUUUAUUUAUAUACCUGGCAGUGAGAAAGAACCUGAGUGAUAACUAACAAACGUAAAGUAAGUUGUUUUUGUUUUUUUUUUUGUAUACCUAAGUUUGAUGUUGAUUGUUACGUACAUAUAUAGUUUUCCUUCAAGCAUUUACGAAAUAGAAAAUCUCCAGUCCAUUGGCUUUGUAUUGAAUUGAUUUGUUAUCUGAGUUCUUGUGUGAAGUUUGUUUGUAAUUAUUAUACUUUAGCGGUACUUCUUCACGUUUAUUCCUCAACAGCAUUUAGGUUAGAAACGGCUCCAGUCCUUCAAGCACUACUAUAACGGUAUUUGCCUCGGAGCGAAUUCUGCUCGUGCCACCUUCCAGUAGACACUGCUCUCGCUCGUCUCCCUUCCUACUAUCUUCCGCGUGUCCACCCCAUACCCUAAUCUAAUUGCUACACCCAUUCUUUCCUCCUCGGACAUUUCAGAAUUCCCACCCUGUUCAGUUCUCUUCCACAAGUGUUCAUUUACAAAAUUUCAAAAAGAAUAUGAAUAUCAUUGGGAAGUAAACUGGUGUAGUAUGCCCCCUAAGGGCUGUGAGCCUUACCCUAUCCGCAAAACUAAGCUGUUUGUAUGUAAGUUAUUUGAUAUAAUACUCGGUGUGUUGAAUAUUCGACAAGUAUCACGUGAACUUACAGUUAGUGUCAGUUCCUAUUUCACUUGUAAUUUGAUUCGAAAUUUUGAUAUAAUCCUCGAUACCCGAAAAUAAGUUAUUUCCCCUCUUUUUCAUUUUCUGUCAUAGAGGUAUUCUACUUUGUCCGGUAUCCGGGUGUCUCACAUAUGAGAUCGUGAUGUUACUUCAAUCGAAGUAUUGCUCCAUCUCAGAAUAGAAACCCAUUACUGUUAAUUAGUUCCCUAUGAAGCCGGCGACUGGAGAUCGAAUUUGAACUCUAAAUGUAAAAUGUUGAAACUUUAAUGGCUAAGUGUCGCUUUUUGACACGUUGUACAUGUGUGACACUCCAUCAUCUACUACUACUAUUUUUUUUCUUAUCGACUUCCAAAAUGAGAAAAGUUAACCUAACAGAAUUUUAAAUUAGAUUACUGACUAUCGGGACACAUUUCACAUAACGUCGUAUCCGACUCUUUACCUACUCUGCCAAUUUAUUUGUUCUCCUGUAUGAAAGGGCAAAUUUUCAAUCAUGUCCUAAACGAAAGGAAUUUUACUUUAAACUCUUGAACUUUAACAAUUGCGUAAUGUGAAAAUCAUCGUAAUUGCAUUCUUGAACAGGUGAUUCUUUUAAUGUCGAAAGCGUCUACCAAUGAUCAAAAUUUUCCAUACAUGACCUCCUCGUGGUCAUUGUGUAAUUCAACAUGCUUUAUUCCCAAACUAUAUUAUUUGUAGUGGUUUCGAUUUAAUGUUUGGAAGUUUUUGCUGCUAUGUCUUGUAAGUCUCACACGCAGGCUAUUUCCCACUAGGUCAUGAUAACUGAUGCUAAUUCAUUUAGGAAGGAAUAUAAUUAAAUGUAUUUUAAUUUUCUAAAUUCAACUUGCUAAAUACUAAUUCUUUAUCUCAGUAAGUCUCUUUUACCUUUAUUUUAAAGUUGGAUAUUAAUCGAACAGGCAUCAACUUGCCGGCUGAAUAUGGAAUUCUAUUACCUAUAACUUUUUGCACCUGUUUCAUCAGGUAAAACUUGUAACUGCCAUUUCCUUGGGCUUCUGAGCAUGAACGUUAUUCUUCAUUAUCUCGUUUAACCUGGCUCUCCAGGAUAGGUGGGUAAUUAAGUUAGAAAAUUACAUGUGAUGAAUUGUUAUCCUGUCCACGAUUGAUUUUUUCCCUAAUACAUCAUGCCAUGAAGUAAAAACUAUAAUCUGAUUUUCAAAGAAACACUGAUGCUCACACUGAAUUUAUUUUCUUAUUGUGUUAUCACUUGCUUUACAUUCUCUUUAUCAAGUUUUGGAGAUCUUUAAGAUCAAGACACAUUUCCCAUUUGUGUUGCACUAUGUGGAUGAACAAAACCCUUCCCUUGCUAAUAUUAUUAAUCUACUGCAGGUAAAGUUGCCACACUUCUGCAAAUUAUUCGAGUCAUUUAAAUAGAGAACUAACGUAUUUUCUGCUUCGAAGCAUUACAUUUUGAUUCUAGAAGUUUCAAUUCUUGAAUAUUGAUAUUUCUUUAUAAUGCGAUACUUAGGGCAACUUAAGACCUAGACAAAUGUUAUGUGUAAAAUUAAACACAAAUACUCCCUAUUAAUUUCACUAUUAGGACAUUAUCGACUGCUUAGAUAUUUGCAAAUGAAAAACCGCAUCUUAUUUGUUUUUUUUUUAUAUGUUUAGAGCCAUGCCAGCCCUGCUCGGGCGUAUAUUUCUCUAAUGCUGUAUGUGGAUAGAUGCUGCGAUCGAACUGUGAUUAUAGCAUCUAUUUACACACAGUAAAACAAUGAAAUCAAAUUUCUAUCAUAUCAAAUUCAUAUCGUAUUACUAAAAUAACCCAAUUCAUGUUUACUUUCCUGACUCAAAUGGAUAGUAGUAAUGUAUAAUUUUUAAACGGAAUAAUUUUGAAUGCUGAAACGAUAUUUGAUUCAUAUAUGACUGAUAUUGCUAGCACGUCAGGUAAACAUUCAUUUGCGUCUUCUGAAGAUUUACCUGUGAAUUAUGCAUAUUACCUCCUCCAUUCCAUCCUUAUUUUCAGCAGCCACAAUAUCACCAAAUCGUUAUCAGUUCAUUGAACUCCUCGUUGUUAUGAUUCCUUCUCUGUUUGUUGAUCUGAGUAUAUAUUAGCUAUAUAUUGUUAGUGUAUCCAAAGGCUGAGCUUCACUUGGACUGCUGUAGAAUAAAAGCCCAUUACUGCAGCUUUUAAUUUACGCAAAACAUUUUUUGUUAGUUUGAACUAUUUAAUAAUUAGAUUUGAAAUCAUAAUAUUUAUCCUCUAUUUAACAUUCAAAUAUACGAAUUUGUUUUGCCUAUAUUAUAACAUAUUUAAAAAUGUAGGGAGUUGGCAGAACCGUAGGCACGCCGGGGCAUUUCGUCUAUCUUUUGUUCAAAUUCCACUGAAGUAGAUUUACCUUUCAUCGUUUAAGGGUCGAUCAAAUAAGCACCAGUUGAGCAUUGGGGUUAAUGUAAUCGGCUUAUCGAAAUAUCUGGCUUUGUGCCAAACUUUGAAAUCGAUAUAACAUACUUAAAUAGAAAUGAUUUAAAAUAUUUUCCAACAAGAAAAGAUUAUUCUUUGUCACACAUAUGAAUUUUUUCUGAUGUAAUUUAACCAGUUAAACACUAAUUUUGUUCAAAAGUUUAAGAUGAGAAUUAAGACCAAACUAUUUUGUUUUUCAUUUUUUGAUAUGAACCGUUAUUCUCACCAUAGGGAUAGUAAUGGUAGAAAUGAAAUUCUUCUACAUCAUAAUUUUCAAUCAUUCAUCAACGGAACAUCGAGGCGUCUUUGAGAUUUCAUUACUAUAUCGGAAAACGCCGCGUCCUCCUCUUUUGAGCUUUUCUCAAUUUCUGAAGAAAAUAACACUGCGUUUCUUCAGCCUAUUUAUCUCUCACAUGAUGAACAAACUGAGAGAUGGAGAAGAGGUGAGAGAGAAGAUAUGAUAAUCAAUGAACAAAUUUAUAAUGAUAAAUAUCUAAUAAUAAAUUAUCAGAAAUAUAAGUUGAUUUUUUUUGUAAAUCCUUCUUAAAGUUUUACUGUUUCGCACUCCAAUGCAGAUAUUAGUUCGAAAUUAAAAAUACUCUUUUUUUCACGCCACAGAAAUGUAUCCAAGUUCACACACACAAAAAUUAUAAUAAACAAUUAUGUUGACUGAUACCGUUUCCCUCGGUCUCUGUUGUUUAUACUUUUGAACUAUGUUUUCAAAUUCGUAUUGUAAAAAAAAUAUGAAUUUCAACGCAGUAAUAUUUCCCCAGACUAUUGUCUUCAACCUUAUAUCUGUUGUGAGAAAAGAAUGAAACCAAGCUUCCAAACCCAUGUUCAUAAGAUAUAUAUCACAUUGUCUUUUUAAUUUUAAUUGUUGCAGCAACCGCAUUGUUGCUGUAAGCUUUCCUUGCACAACUGGGUUUUGCUGUAUGAUAUGCGUGCAAUCAGUGAUUUGUUUCUAUUCAAUGCUCAUUCAUUAAGCAUGUUUUUAUAGGCACUGUUUCUGCUUAUAAUCGGCAAGUUCUAGUUAACUUCAUUUACAGUUAUUUAUACUUAAAUAGUUUCUCACUCUCACCCCGCAAUCUUUGCACUUGCGCGCGUGCACGCGUCCGCUUUCCGGACGAAUAGAUGGAUAGACAGAUAGACAGACAGAUAGAUAGAUAGGUAGAUAAAUAGAUAGAUAGAUAGAUAGAUAGAUAUACAUUAAUCAUUCACUGAGAAAGGUCUGUGGUGAGAGUUAUCAAACAUGUUGGUGUUAUUGAGGACCGUCUAAGCAAUCUCUUCUUCACGGUUUUAUAACGAAAAAUAUAAAGAAAUUUCAAAUUGGUGUAGGAGUACAACAGAGGGAGAAUGGAGCAUUACCAGGUCGUUAUGAAAGUUAGCAACAGAUUAGCACCUCUUAGAGCAUUUAUUCCGAAAUGAAAAUACCAUUCUUUGCGGAAGCAGCUCAGAGUUCAGUCAAGUUUACUCAAAGAUGUAAUGUUCAAUGAUUGUGAUCAUUUAAUGAAAAGGUUGGUGCAAUGUUAGCCGACGCUGUCAAACAAAGGAUCGUCAGCUGUGACAACAGAUUUCGUAAGGUGGACAUAACUGUAGAAGAUAAAAUAUAACCGUAUCACUGAUGCCGUCUUAUUAUAUUCCGAACAUUGGUAAGAGGGUUACAUAGAUGCACUUUUUUGUACACUGUCGUAGCUAAAUGAGCUGAGAUGAAAUGAAAGAAUGAUCCACAGUUUAGGAACUUCUCUGAUCUGCCACCAGUGGUUGUUGCAAUUAUUUUUCUUUUUAACAUUUCUAUAUGUUCUAAUCUUUGUAUUUAUCUUAUACCCUUAAAGUAACUAAAAUAUUAUAUUUAUAAUUAUUAUUAUUAUUAUUAUUAUUAUUAUUAUUAUUAUUACUCACUAGUACUAUUUUUAUCACGUACGUUUACUGCACUACAGAACGCAACUCUGUGUGCCUUGGGUAUGUGCUGUGAUUUGUUGUGGUUCUCGUAUUUUCACUGUCUUGAAAGUGUUUUACGAAGGAUUGUGUGGUGCCUAGUAGUGCUAUUUUGUGUAUGUUAUAUAUACUUGUAAGUCCUGGUGUUUUUGUUAUGUAUUUCUCUGACUGAUUUUUUAUCAUACCUAAUAAUACCAUAAUAGGAUGAGAAUUGUUUGUUUUUAGGUCCCACAUUCGAUUUACCUCUGUUUCCAGAUCAUUGUAUUUUGAAAGUUUCUCCGUUUUUCAGAGAAACAUUGUCACCUGUUGGUAUUGAUACAUGGAUUACAAAGCAAUUUUUUCUUGGUUAUCUCUAACAACUAUAUCCAGCCUAUUAUUAUUAUUAUUAUGGCUGACGGUUAGUAAGGAGAGACACAAAUAAGAAAGAAGAAAACAAAGGACCACUGAUGCGGUCACAGGAGUGUGACGAAAGAACUCUGGCCAAAAUAAGAUUAAGAUUAAUGUAAAAAAUAAAUAACACUGAAGCAAAAUAACACCAAAUAUAUAGUGCGUGUGUUUUUAUUGGCUAUACUGGCAAUAUGACCAUUUCCGAAAUAUAACAAUAUCUGUUUCGACACACGACCUCACAUAAAAAAUAUUGCACAACAAAUAUUAAACGUAUUAUUAUUAUUAUUAUUAUUAUUAUUAUCAGAAGUUGUAGUAGUCUCAUUAUUAUCAUUAUUAUUGUUGUUGUUGCUGUUAUUCAAAGUCUUUCAUUGUUUCGGGGUCAAUAAAUUUCCAGUGAAACACAGGGGUGGAUGUAAUCGCCUAGACCCUCCUCCGAAUUUCAGGCCUUGUGCCUAUAGUAGAACGGAUUAUGGUUAUUAUUAUUUAUUAUCUUUGCACAGCGUCUAACGCUUGAGAUGUGAUACGGUGUCUCCUGUUCACUACGUGUGAAAUAAGGUAGCACCCCUUUGAGCGCCAUCUGGAGUAUUCGAGCGGUUACAAGGAGUGCUGUUUCCUGCAAGCGCUCCACCCUUAUUGCAGCCCCUAUUUGUCCCAUGUACCUUAUUAUUAUUAUUAUUAUUAUUUACUUUUGAUCUACACAUUUGUUACAGUCACUCUUCGAGACACACCCAGCGUCCUGGGGUGAGUGAAGGGUAAGAGAUGUUAUACUAUGACCGAAAGUUUAGGGAGGAAGUGUAGCGAAAUAUCUUCAUAGAAUACCACACAAACAUUGAAAUGGAUAGAGUAUUUUUAAUGAUAUGGGCGGUACUUGUCAUUACAAUUUUUUGGAUUUCUCUGACAUAUGGUUCUCCUGGAAUAUUAAUUAAAUGUUUCUGUCAUUCCUUUUUUUAUCAUAUCUAGGGCACCUAAAAUAACUAAAACACUUCUCGCUUUAAGAUGCCAACUAUUUUGUAUUUCAAGUUCCAGGUCCUUAUAUUUAUUCAGUUUGUCAAAUUACUUUACACAAGUAUUUUUAUCGCUGGGAACACUUUCGUUUAUUUGCCUAUAAGAAUUUUCUUCCUUGUCUUUAAUAAUUAUGUCUCGUCGAUUAGCCUGGAUCAGUCUGUCAGUGUUGACUGGAAAAUCCCAGAGAAUAGUGACAUUUUUGCUUUCAACAGCUGACUCAGGCUGAUGUUCAUACCAUUAAGCAGGAGUGCUGAUUUUGUUGUCUUUACAUAUUUUCCAAUCUAAAUACUCUCCUACCCUAUCGUGGAGAUUUUGUAUUCAUUUGGAUCAGCACAAGACAUCCUGAGACAAGAUGGUCUAUUGCUUCGUUAUAUGUGUUGCAGAAUCUGCAUUUAGGUUAAUAACCAUUUUGAAGAGCGUUAGGCGGGUAGUUUUUGGUGAGCAAGCUUUGAUUUUGUGCCGCCAAUAUAAAACCUUCGGUCUCUGCUUUCAGUCCUCAACUUCUCAGCGACUGAUGUGUCGUUGCCUGAUUUACAUCAGAAUUUUGACUUCCAAGUAAAUACUGUUCAUACUGAGGUUUCUGGUUCCACUGCUUCUCAAUUUGUUUCUUCCCGUUCAUUUUUGUAGUCUGCUUGAUCCAUUUCGCUUGGUUUGUGGAAGUGGUUUCAGGUUUUCAACUAUUUCAGGGUUCCCUUGCGAAUUUGCAAGCUUCUUUGACAAUAGAAUGUGAUAUUUUGCUGCUUUCGUGUUUGCUACCAUGUCGCAGCCUCCACAAUUUUUACGUUCUAGGAUCAAAUUCCACCGAGGUCGAUUUUGCGGUUCAUUCGUUCGGGAUCCAUAAAAUAAGUACUAAUUGAGUACUGGGGUCGAUGUAAUCGACAAUGCCCCUUCCCCAAAUUUCAGGCCGUGUGCUUAUAAUAUAAAUUAUUAUAAUUUUCUUCUUGCCUUUUUUCAAGUUUGUUUCCAUUUCUUGUUGAAUAACUUCUCAAAACUUUGGGCAAAGAAACACACAACAUACAUUGGUAGGCCAUAAAAAAACAUGCCAAAUUGUUCAUUUAUAAUAUAUAAUUAUUAUUAUUAAGGUACCAAACUAGCAGAAUCUCUACCACGCGGAGCAAGAUGCUUUGCGAAUUUCAUCCGUCUUUACAUUAUAAGUUCAAUUCCGCCGAUGUUGACUUUGUCUUUCAUAAUUUUGGGGUCGACAGAAUAAGUACAUUUGAGCACAGGGGUCAAUGCACCCGACCUACCACCCACCCCACCGCCAAAGAAAUUGCUAGCCUUGUGCCAGAAUUUGAAACCAUUAUUGUUAUUAUUAUUAUUAAUAUUAUUAUUAUUAUUAUUAUUAUUAUUAUUAAGAAGAAGAAGAAGGGGAGGAAUGGGUUGGUUGAUUGCAUCAACCCUAGAAAGGGAAACUAAAGUCAACUCUGGCGGAAUGUGGGCUCAGAAAAUAAGGACGCAUGAUAUACCGCUAAGCAUUUUGCCUUAAGUGCUAACGAUUCUGCAAGGUCAGCGCCAUAAUAAUAAUAAUAAUAAUAAUAAUAAUAGUAAUAAUAAUAAUAAGAGGUACCAAGGAUCAACUCCUAAUAGAUAAAACUGUACUCAGAGACUGCAAGAGGAGGAAAAAUAACUUAGCCAUGUCAUGGAUCGACGAUCGUAAGGCGUACGAUAUUAUCCCACAUUCUUGGAUUAUGGAAUGUAUGAACCUAAUUGGGAUUGCAUCGAAUGUUGAACGAUUGCUUGGAAAAAGUAUGGCGAAAUGGAGGAGGGACCUGACAGCAUACGGAAGAAGUUUAGGGACAGUAGAUAUUAGGAGGGGCAUCUUCCAAGAGGAUUGCCUGUCCCUACUGAUUUUUGUACUGUGCUUGAUACCACUCACACUGUUUCUCAGGAAAGCAAAUGUUCGUUAUGUAUUCAAAAGCCGCCAACAAAAUGUCGACCAUUUGUUAUUCAUGGAUGACCUCAAACUUCAUGGUAAAGAUGAAACCCAAGUCAGUUCCCUCGUUGAUACGGUGUGUGCGUUCAAUGCUGAUAUCAGAAUGGAUUUCAGACUGAGAAAGUGUGUUGUGUUAAUCUUGAAGAGAAGCAACAUAACUGUAUGGACGGAGUAGCGAUACCGUCGGGGGAGGUUAUGAAGCAGAUAGAAGAAACGGGAUAUAAGUACUUGGGGAUUUAGGAAAUGGAUAAAUUAAUGGAGAAAGAAAUGAGAGAAAAAUUUAAGGUGGGAUACUUCCGUAGACUGAGACUGAUCCUUAAAUUGAAAUUAAAUGGACGGAAUAAGAUCGAAGUUAUCAAUACCUGGGCGGUUCCACUCCUUAGAUAUGGAGCAGGGGUAAUCACAUGGACAGUAGAUGAACUAAACAGCUUAGACAGAGAGACAAGGAAGUUGCUAACUAGAUAUGGUUCACUCCACCUAAAAAGUGACACAGGGAGACUGUAUAUACCAAGAAAAAGAGGUGGAAGAGGACUUAUCGGGUGCGAACACAGCAUUGGAGCAGAAGAAAACAACGUAGUAUGGUAUGUAAAAAAAGACAGACAGAAAAACAAGAUGGCUGUGGAUAAAUAAAAGUGAUUUAAAACCGGAAACAUAUGCUCUAAUAUGUUCUGCUCAAGAGCAAGCACUAAGAACUAACUACAUAAAAUACAGACUAGACAACACACCAGAAAGAGAUAAGUGCAGAAUCUGUGGACAAAAUGGUGAGACCGUAUGGUAUAUUACCAGCAAAUGUACGCCACUAGUCGAGAAGGAAUAUAAGAGACGCCACGACGAUACAGCCAGGCUAGUCCAUUGGACACUUUACAACAAUUAUGGACUUGACAGUGAAAGAAUUUGGUUCGACCGCAAACCUGAAGGCAUUGUUGAAAAUGGAAAUGCAAUGAUCCUAUGGGGUUUUAUGAUUCAGUGCGACCGUGAUAUUGAGAAUAGGAAGCCCGACAUUGUCUUAAUUGAGAAAGAAAACAAACUAUGCUGGCUCAUAAAUAUAGCAUGCCCAGCUGGCAACAAGUUAUGCGUUAAGGAAGUAUGAAAAAUCGAGAUGUAUGACACGUUAGCUUGGGAAUUUAAACAGUUGUGGUCGAUGAAAAGGGUAGCAGUAGUAUCAAUGAUUUUCGGAGCCCUGGGAACAGUGAGCAAAAAUCUCGAGAUGUACAUGGAACAAAUAGAGGCUGCAUUAAGGGUGGAGCCCUUGCAGAAAGCAGCACUGCUUGGAACCGCUCAAAUACUCGGAAGGUGCUCGGGAAAUGAGAGGUGUUACCUUAGUUAACUGGUAGUGAACAGCUGACACUGUAGUACACAUUCGUCGUUAGAAGGCAACUAUGAUAAUAAUGAUGAGAAUAAUAGUAAGGAAUAUUAUUUCAUUAAUUUAUGCGUGUCUCUACUACAGAAUCAGAUUUCUGAAGGUAGUGAUUUUUAUUAACAUACAUUGUAUGAUACAUGUGUUGCAUUGCUGAUUAUAUUGGCUUCUUGUUUCUCUAAUAUUUAAUCUAUUUGUUAUGUAGACGAUGGUCUUUGAGAGUUUUGUUAUUAUAUUACGACGUGAUUGCUCUUUGGUUUUGUUUGCUUCUGUGUUGCCAGCAAAAGUACGUGAUUAGUGUAGCAUGAAGAAAACAACCAACUUUUCUUUAUAUGUAAUGAGACCAACUACAAAUUAGCAGCUGACUAUACUGGAUCAGGAUUUGAAUGAGCCUUAUGGUGGAUGCCGAUAUGGCUUAUUUUACAGAAUACUUGUAGUGUUGUGUUCCUGGUAUAUAUCUGUACGUAUGAGUUCAAACUUUCCUUUCUCACACUUUCUGCUCUUUAUUUUUGUCUUUCAUUUAGCAUACACAUGCUUUUCAUCCAUUUCAAACGACUGUGUUUCUAUAAUUUCCGAACUUUCCUCCAGGUGAUAUUUUUGUCUGUUCACAGAGAAAUGUAUCGUAUUUGGAACGUACAUAUUCAGUGCCUUCACUUUAAUUGAAAGUUUUGGAGUACUGCUAACUUGAUGUAUUGGGCAUUGCUUAUGUUUGUAGAUGUCUUUGGAUUUGCCAGAAAUUAUGCGUUCAGUUGUCUUGUAUUUUGUCUUUAUAAAUAACUGUUUUCUAGUCACAUAUUUAUCAUGUACAACCAAAAUUACAUAUCCAUUUUUGUCUUUAUAUCAGUAUUUCUGAGCAAUUACUGGCUUAAACAUUUACUUGCUCCCACGGUAUCGUGUACUGGAGGAUUUUGGCCUCGUAAAUUGUUUUCAUCGCGAUUUCCUUGUUUACAUACAUUUUUCUACAUUCUUCAUAUUUUUUCUUCAAUAUUACUAGCUUCCAAUUUCUAGUUGGUCUCACUGUAUAUAUGGAAACGUUGUUUGUUUCCUUGAUGCUACACUAGUCACUUUUUUUGUUGGCUCCUAAAUAAUAUUUAUUGGAACAGUCGUUGAUUCGCAGUAUUUGUUUUUAUUUGCCUCCAGUUCCAUACUUUAUGAGUGUGGAGCUGAUGUAUCCCAUUAGUGUCAGCUUAGUGCUAUGGUUUUAGAUUAUAUUUGGGAGUAUCUUAUGCUUUCCUCUACGAUCUCCAAUUUAAUUGUUGAUACAAUAAUUUAUAAAAGAGAUGAUUUGCACAUUUUUACCUAUUACCAUACUGUUAAUAAUAGUUCCAAAUUUUGGCAGAGGAACAGUAAUUUCGACUCCAAAAAAAUGAAAUGCAAAGUCAAACUCGGCGUGAUUUGAACUCAGAACGUAAAGACGGAAAUGAUGCAAAGCAUUUUAGACGCCAUACUAACGAUUUUGCUGGCUGCUUUGAUAAAACUGUUAAUAUUGAUUUUCAGUUUUUGAAAUUUGUCUGAAGUUUCUGAAAAAAUGUUUAAUAUCGUUCUCUUUUAUUUAUGUGUGAUUAAUCUCAUCAGUCUCACCUAUUAAGCUUAUGUGUUCCUGGCUCUGUUCUAAUUUUCUGUUCUCAGAGACUGGAUAUAAUAUAAUGUUCUCAAUUAUGGUAAUUUACUCAUUUUUAUAACAGCUUUGGCAAAUUUCCUAAUCCCAUACUCAAUCCUAGGUAAUGGAGCUAUUUGUAAUCAAAUGUUGGUAGAUUUCCUAGAUGGACAUUAUUCCUUGUAAACAGUAUGUAUUUCAGAGAGGAUAUGGUUUCGAAUCUGUCUCUAAAAUUUACAAUAGUUGUUAGGAUUCUUCAUUACUAGUUGUAAUAUUCUUCAUAUAUGCAUAAGGCAAUUUCUCGCUUACGUUAUUUUGGUUGUAUUUAUACAUAUAUGCACAAAUAAUACAUGCAUAGACACAAGCAAACACACACACACACACACACAUACACACACACACACAUAUAUUGUUUACAAAAUGAAAUUACAUGCUUGAUGCAUUUUCUUGCAUUAUUUAUAGCUAGACUCUCAAGUAUCGAAAACUUUCCUAUACCAUUAAAUUAUUUUUGAUAAAUUUUGUAUGCCAUAAUAAUGGUUAUCUUGAUUGCCCGCGUCACUAGUAGCUCCUCCUUCAGUAUAUACAUCUCUUUUCCAGUACCGUUUCUGUUCCUUUAUGAAAGUGAGAUUUCUAUCGACAUUGACAUCCAAUCUGAUUUAGAUUUACAAUAUUAGGGGAAUUUUGGUUAUUAACAAAAAUCUUUAGGUUUAUACAUUUCUAUAUCUCCUGUAUUGUUGCUUCCAGGAACAACAAUUUCCCCGCGCAGCAGCAAUGAUUCUUUUGUAGUGUUGAUCGGUUUAUUCACUGAUUGCUGCCAGCAUAAAUUAAUGAAUACUGCUUUGAUGUUUCUGCUAAAAAUUGGGUUAUUUGUUCAACCUACGGUUAUGCAGCUUUUAAAAUGUUGCGAUGUUCUGUGCUGGAUGCGUUUAAUCAGAUUCGUAUCACUAUUGUAUAUUUUAUAGUGUUGAUCGGUAUACAUGUAUAUAUAUAUAUAUAUAUAUAUAUAUAUAUAUACUUACAUACAUAUAUAUAUGUACUUGUGUGUUUGUGUUGGUUCCCCCACAACCGAUAUUGACAACCGAUAUUGGUGCGUUUAAGUCCCAGUAUCCUAGCAGUUCAACAAAUUAGACCGAUAGAACUAACAGUGCUAGCAAAUUCAAAUAUGCAAGCGAAGAAUUUCUGCUCUCCCCUUUCCACCAGCGUGGGCUAAAAUCAGUGUUUUCAAAUCCAAACCAGGCAGUUCUGAGCUGAUGAUAGAAGUGUCGAUUUUGACUAAUCUUGAAACGUACGUUCUCAAAUAACCUUUGCAUUUGAUUUUUUAAUGUCUCUACCCACAUACUUUCGUGAGUUGAAUUGAGCAAACACUAUAUGAGAGAGGUUUUCUUUAAGUAUUGGAGAUAGUUUUUAAAAAAGUUUUUUUAGCUGCUAUUUCUAAUGAGUUCAGUAUGCGGCAAAGUAAUUUAUUUUACUAAGCCCUUUUAUAUAAUGUAAUAAUUUGAAUUCGCCUUAAAUGGUCCCUUUGUAUACUGAAUACUUGGUGAAAUUGAUUAAUUAAUUAAUUUUACCCUCAAUUGUUGAAAUAUAUAUAUAUAUAUAUAUAUAUAUAUAUAUAUAUAUAUAUAUAUAUAUAUAUAUGUAUAUAUAUAUGUUAAUAAUAUCAAAGGGUAAUUAGAAAUAUCUGAAAUUUCCUUACCAGUAUCCUACCGUGUAAAGGUUUAGUCAAUAGACUAUAUAUUAUCCAUGCAAAUACAGUGUAUAUUUAAACAUACAAGAGGCAUCUAUCAUAGGGUUCCUUGAAAGAUAAAGACCAGAGUUAAAUUCCAAACCACUAUUAGGAAUAAAUUUUCGGAGGGAAUAUGGUAAAUGUUUUUAUUUUUCACUCCCUUCGAAAUUUUAUCUCUAAUAGUCGUUUGGAAUUUGACUGUACUUUCGAGCGUGUAAUUGCAUAUAUAUAUAUAUAUAUAUAUAUAUGCUUGGAUUUAAUCCUAAAUCUGAUUUUUUCCCUGUAAAUUUGGAUUUAUUCCCUAAUAUUUAUUAUGCUUAUAUAUAUAUAUAUAUAUAUAUAUAUAUAUAUACCAAUUAAGGACUGAACACGAGAAGUGGACAGACAACAUGCUAGAUAUGUGAUGAGUUUGAUUUGGGAACAUAAUCUUUUGUGGAGAAUGGCGAUUUGACGUCUAUAUCUAGCAUGUUGAAUGUCCACUUUUCGUGUUCAGUCCUUAAUUGGUAUAUAUAUAUACUUAAUCUUCGAAUUCUUUUUUUAAUAUGCUAGACCACUGGUUUUAAUUGAUAAAUAUUGAUUUCUACCCUUAAUUAAUUUUAUUAUAUAUAUAUAUCUAUAUAUCUAUAUCUAUAUACAUACAUGCAUACAUAUAUAUAUAUACAUGUAUAUAUAUAUAUAUAUAUAUAUAUAUAUAUAUAUAUAUAUAUAUAUAUAUAUACGAGAUGCUAAUGCUGUGUGGGCCAAAUCCUCUUGAUGGUAAGUGACGCCAGCCCUCUGGCGCAUACGUGUACAGUUUUGCCCUGCUAGGCCGCGUCAGUUCCCAGAUGUUAUGCGCGGAGUACAGUCGUAAUUCCCGCCUUCCAACAAGUCGAUCGAAAGCAUCGAACAGAGAUAUUCCAUCAAAUUUUGCACAAAACGUGGUUGUACUCAAGCUCAAACAAUCCAUAAAAUAUUAAGCUUGAAACCGCUUGAAAUAUAGACGUACAUCAGUGGUUAGCUUGGCAAAUACUCAUAGAAUACCUUCGUCUAACGACUCGUAAAAUAAGAAAAUAAGGGAAGGAUCAGGGCAUUCGAUUUUUAACGUAGAAUUUGUGCAAUCUGAGAGUGCCGGCGAUACUGAUCCCCAUGUUCCUAGCAAAGCAGCAGAAGCAACUUAAUAUUGAAAUCUUGCUGGACUUUACAAAUAACGAACCACACUACACGAAGACAAUCAUCCCUUGUGAUGAGAAAUAGGUCUAUGGUUGCGACCAGGAAAGUAACUUCCAGCCCUCCUAAUAGAAGCAUCAGAUAUCAUCAAAGCCAAAAAGUGCACUAUAAGUUCGCAGGAAUGUGAAGGCAAAUUUCACCUUUUUAUUUGGGGCCCGUGAUUUUGAGCAUCAGGAAUACGUACCACUAACCCAAACAUUCAAGAAGGAAUAUUACCUGUAGAUUAUACGACGCUUUCGUGAUGCAGCGUGUGUAUUUGUGUCUGUGUUUGUUUUGUGUGUGUGUGUGUGUGUGUGUGUGUGUGUGUAUGUGUGUGUGUGUGUGUGUGUGUGAAGUGAAAUGAGUUAAGAAUCCAGGUAGAUAUCUAUAUAGCACUUUGAGUUAAAAAUGAGCUUUUACAUAUACAUUUGUAGUCAGAAAGAAAUACUGUCACUUUUGUUGUGGAUGACAGCGUUUAAACGGUCGAUACACAACUCUAUAUUCUAUAUGUAUGUGAUAGUGCAAUGGAAUGUGCAACGGAAGACGAAUCACAUAGAGAUGGAGGGAAAAUACAGGGGGAGGUAUUGUGUGAUAAUUAUAUUAUGGUGAGUGUUUAUGCUGGGCGUGGGAAAUUUUUUUUACUGCUGAUAAUAUAUCAAACGGACUGAAAACGUUUUCUACUUGGAGGGAACAAACAAGGCGACUAAAUAUAUUUUUGCCGUUGGGAAGAUAAAAGAAAUUUCACGAAGACCGCCGUGUGGGGACUACUUCAGAAUAAUCAUUUUCCUGCUGAGCAAAGACUCCAGUAUCUAGUUCUGAUAAAUAAUACCUUAACUGUUCAAGUAAUCUCCAAAUUUGCGGUAUUUUUUCAAUAGCAAAAUGCCUCCUACCAAUACUGAGAAAAAUUCCCACCAUGUUUGACACCUCUGACAUAUAUUGGUGGAUUAAUUAGAAAGUGGGGAUAACUUCUCCUUUAAAUUUCUGAAAUCUAAAAUAUAUUUCAGACUGAGGCAAGGAAUCUGAAAACAUGAGCUUGGUUCCUAUUGCGGCCAUAGCGAAUGUUGUCGUUCGCGCCCACAAGAAUGCCGGCAACAGUCAUUAUGUAGAGCAAAAGCAGUUGAAGGUACUCUACUAAGUGUUUUCCUCAUUUCAAGUACAUAGAAGAAAAAAUAUAAUAUUCAUUUUAAACGUGAACCAAAGCUGUUGAAUUUUACUAACAGACUCGUAAAUAUUUGGCUGCUGUUAUAUUAAAUUAAUAGCAAUUUUAAACAGACACAAAAGCACACACAUACAUACUCAUGUAUGUGUGGCACUCCGUCGGUUACGACAAUGAGGGUUCCGGUUGAUCCGAAUCAACGGAACAGCCUGCUCGUGAAAUUAACGUGUAAGUGGCUGAGCACUCCACAGACACGUGUACCCGUAACGUAGUUCUGGGGGAUAUUCAGCGUGACACAGAGAGUGACAAGGCCGGCCCUUUGAAAUAUAGGUACAGCAGAAACAGGAAGUAAGAGUGAGAGAAAGUUGUGGUGAAAGAGUACAGCAGGGAUCACUACCAUCCCCUGCCGGAGCCUCGUGGAGCUUUAGGUGUUUUCGCUUAAUAAACACUCACAACGCCCGGUCUGGGUAUCGAAACCACGAUCCUAUGACCGCGAGUCCGCUGCCCUAAUCACUGGGCCAUUGCGCCUCAUGUAUGUGUACACCCAUCCACACAUCCACGCAUUUUAUUUGUGGGUUAGUAAUUUCUAAAGUCGGUUUCAUGACGAGAAUCCUCGGCCACUAUCAAGCUCGUCACAUGGGUCAUUGGUAUUCGUUUCCAUUUGAACGAGAAUACACCGAAGCUACACAAGCGUAUGCGGAUUUUUGGUACAAACAAAUAAAUAUACAGAUCAGGGGAAAUAAUUGAUAAUUGAUAUCUGCAUUAGCUAGCUAUCUUCGAAGUUAUGAAUAUGUGUAACUAUGAAUAUGAAUAUACACGUAUAUACACGUAUAUGCACGCAGGCACCAGUGCAGAAUAUCCAUACAGAAUAUGUGCACACACACGCACACACAAAACAAACACUGACACAAAUACACACACACACAUAAAUAUAUGUGUAUGCCUGUCUGUGUUAGUGUAUGUGUGUGUGUGUGUGUGAUAUAAAUAAGUAUAGAUAUGCAUAUAUGUAUAUGUAUGUCAGUGUAUAUAUACAUAUUCACACAAACGUAUGCAAGUGUGCGUGCGUGUUUUUGAUUGUGUAUGUGCCUUUGUAUAAUUGUAUUGAACGCGUACCUGCAUUCUCAAACUUGAAAUGACCUCCACUGGAGCGAAUUUCCCCUUCCGACAGUUAUUUAGAAAAACACACCACUUGGUUAUGGAUCUCGUCAUUGGACCAUAGAAGACGUAGUGCGCAGCCUAUUAAAUACUGCAGCUUUUGAUAUUCAAACAGCAUUUGACACAUUUGUUGAUGAAUGCUAAACUUUGUAGGGUUUCAAUUAAUUAAAUAGACACGCAUUAAGCAACAAUGAAUGAUUUAGAGAAUUGCACAAUUAUGCACGCCUAUACUGAAUGGCUGCGAUCGAAGGAUACUGUGUCCGUAUUCAUUAAAGCGUAAAGACGCAGCAACAUGCAUCCUGUGAUGCGGUGAUGUCAUUGAUAACCCAGCGUUGGGAUUUUACUGCAAAUUAUAUAUUGUAAGAAUGUCUCCACAAAGAACGUUUUCGCUGCCGAAUCCUUUCCACAUUUGAGUUUACACGUCUUGAAUAUAAUUAUAUAUACCUAUGGUUCUAUCAACAAUGCUUCAUUAGCAUCUAAUUAAUUACUUCCAGCUUCACAAGUUUUUGAAAGAAACAACAGACGUUUUAUUUACAGCUUAGGUUCAUUUCAUAUCAUAUGCAAACUAUCCUGAACGUAUAAGGUUUUCUUUGUUUGAGGGUAUAUUAUACCACAAUAUCUAUCUAUCUUUCUAUCUAUCUAUCUAUCUAUCUAUCUAUCUAUCUAUCUAUCUAUCUAUCUAUCUAUCUAUCUAUCUAUCUAUCUAUCUAUCUAUCUAUCUUUCUUUCUAUCUAUACAUAUAUAUAUAUAUAUACAUACAUACAUACAUACAUAUAUAAUAUUACCUGUGCGUCUGCACACACACGCAUGUGUAUAUGUAUAUAUAUAUAUAUAUAUAUAUAUAUAUAUAUAUAGAGAGAGAGAGAGAGAGAGAGAGAGAGAGAGAGAGAAAGCAGGAAAAGAAACACGUCACGUGAGGAAAAGGAAUAUGGUCGAUGAUCACGCGUGAGCAACGUGAAAGAGAGUGAGAGAAAAAAAGGGGAGAAAGACAGAUAGAAUACGGUGACGGAGGGAAGGAUAGAAAAAGAGAAUUAGAAAAGGAUGGAGGAAGAAAACAGUAUAGGGUAGAGAGUGGCAUGAAAAAGGUGCCACUCUCUACCCUAUACUGUUUUCUUCCUCCAUCCUUUUCUAAUUCUCUUUUCUAUCCUUCCCUCCUUCGACGUAUUCUAUCUGUCUUUCUCCCCCUUCUUUUUCUCUCACCCUCUUUCACGUUGCUCACGAGUGACCAUCGUCCAUCUUUCUUUUCCUCACGUGACUAUCUUUCUUUUCCUCCACGGACGUGUUUCUCUCUAUCUCUCUCACUAUCUUCUAUCUUUUUUCUUAAGAAGGGAAAAAAUCAUUUCUGCCAGUGUUCACUAUUUUCCUGUCGUUUUGGUCUAACGACCCUCCAUGUUUGUUUUCGUGCGGUUUCCACUGUCAUGUUUUUGUUCCCAAAUAUUACCCUCUAUUUAUGGAAGCGACUGUCUUUGAAAACUCUUAUUGUCGUGGAAUGCUCGAAAUAAGGAGCAGAUAGACAACCGACAACUAAUGUGUUAACUUGUCCUAUUUUCCGUUUUUUCUUCGUUGUUUACUUUUUUCAUGUUACUUGCACCGUUGGUGAUGUCCUGUACCCAUAUAUAUGCAUAUAUGGUAGUCUUAAUACACAAAUACAGAAAUUCCAUCCAAUGCGGUGUUGAGCACUCAUGUUGUGUGUGUGUGUGUGUGUGUUUUAGCUUCAAAUUUUGGCACUCAGACACCAAGUUUAAGGCGGUGGGAAAAGUCGAUUAAAUCAAUCCCACUGACUAAUUGAUAAUAUUUUAUCGAACAUGAAUUGAAUAAGAUUAUAUGAGACUUUAUAAAUCAUUUCCCCCAUUAUGUUUAAAUUUUGCUAAACAGUUAAGGGAUUGAAACUUGCGUGGAAAUUAUUUAUCUUGAAACUCAAAUAAUUGCAAACUAGUACAUCGGCCCAACCUAAACAAUAUAUAUCUAUGUAAAGAAAUACAUUAUUUUUAUUAAACAUCAAAAAAUAUUGCCAUUAUUAUUUUAUUAGCACGCACAAUUUCCCCAUUCACUCUUAAUCGCAUAGAAAUGCACUCACGCAUAUUCAUCAUCGAGAUAUAUAGUGGCAUACUCAAACUCACUCAUAAUCACAUAUAUGCAUAUGCUUAAGUGCGAUUUUAUAUACAUCUAUGUAUACUUACAGACACAUAUAUAUAUAUAUGUAUAUAUGUAUGGUGCAUGUAUACAUGUAUGUAUGUAAAUAUAUAUGUCUGUAUAAAGGUACGUAAGUAUGUAUGUACAUAUAUUUACGUAGAAUAUGAAUGUUUACUCUGACUACAAGCAUGUAUAUAUACGUUUUCUUAAAAUUCUCUUUCACUUUAUCUUUUCAGUGGAUUAACCUGGAUUAAAAAGGAUUACUUUCAAAUAUGGAUUUACGUGCCUGGACAGUACCUUUGGCGACAAGCUGGUUUGUGGUUCUCAUGUUAUUAUUGGAUGUUUCAAUUGGAUCCACUGCAGAUUUGCACGCACCGUGUUACGCUUGUCGCAUAUUCAACAUCAUGCAGAGGGACAAUCCCAAACAUGACCCAAAGGU
rnacentral:lncRNA from 1 species